UUUUAAAGUCAUUAUAACUGGGCCAGCAUGCUAAUGAGACCCAGUAAAUCAGAUUAAAAAUGUUGACUGCAGCAAGUUCCAAGACUUUAUACAAGGCUUUGACAGUUGCAUCCUGUAAAUCGGUUCCAUUUUUGCACAAUUAGUGACUCCGAUUAUAAUCCUUCAAGCAAAAUGUCCAGAGGAAAGACUCAUUUAAUACUUGAUUCAGCUACAACUUUUGGAAAUUGCUCCUUGCAAAUUUCGGGAAAGGUUGACUUACCAUCCUGUGGUAUUGGAGGGGAUGGAGUGAAGCUCGUCGCAGGUUUGUAGUUGUGGAGGAAGAGGAGAACGGCGAAGCCCAGCGUGGUGGUGGCCAGGAGGAUCAGGCAGAUGUUGCAGGGUAUCAUGAAGUAACGCACCACCAGCGACACUUUGUGCUGGUAC